rnacentral:misc_RNA from 1 species
UCAAUUUACCUCCUGGUCUAUCUGGUAUGCUUGUAAAUUUGGACAUUUCUCUUUAUUUGAAAUAUCAUUUACUAUAUGCUUAUAUGCAAGUGGGUUGGGUUUUAGUUAUUAAAAGAUGUUGAACUUAGGAUUAUCUGUUGGAAAAUGAAAUUUGGGUCUUGUGGAUCUGCUUCUAAUUCUUAAGACAGGUCGAGCUUCUAUUAAAAAGUGUCUGAAUAACUUUGUCAGAGUAUUUAGAAUUUUUCCUGUGAAAAUAUUGAGAUGUUGGUAAAAUCAUCCUCUGGUCUCUAAUAACAAUUCAAUUGGAAAUACAAUUCUGGACCAAGUGCUAACUGUUAUUAGUGUUUUAAAGGAAUGGUUGCACAUGAAAUUUGAAGUUUGAAGUAGGUAUUUUCAGUUCUUGUUCCUUUGUUAACAUGGGGCGUGCCUUGAUGUGCCCAAGGAACAUUGUAUGGGUUGCCCUGGCCUUGCCUUCAACCUUCUAAUUUACAUUCAAAUUGCUAUAAUGUGAUGUUAUUAGUAGUCUCAUUGAAACAGUUGCUUCUAUUUCAUUACUUGAAAUGGUGCUUUUGAGAAAAAUGCUAAGAAGGAUGGAGCAGGAAUGCAAAACUUAUUGUGUUUCAUUUUGUUUUAACUGUCUUGACUGUAAUUUAUCUUGAGAUUAGCUUAAAUAAGCCAUUUAUUUAUAGUUUUGAUGCGUCCCACAUUAGCUCCACAGGGAGGUCUUGGGUGUUAUUAUAUAUAUGAGUUUGCAAACUUUCCUUUGUGAGCUAGCUUUUGAGGUGG